CCCGGGGGCAUCCGAACCCUAGAAAGCUUCCUUCCCCAGACAAGGGAGCUCUCGCCACACCCAGCAGAGCUUUUUGGAGAAAGUCCAGUUUGGACAGGCUGAUGAGCAGCACCCUACUCACCAAGUCCUGGGAGGGACAACACAGGUGGGAAGGCCUUCCUACUCCUACGUGCUUCGCUGCAAAGAGACCUGAAGUCAUAAAAGUGGAUCAAGGGAGCCAGACACACAGGGAUGGGCUUGUUUAUCAUCCUGGAGACUACAGAGAAACUUAGAAGCACAAAGAGUCACUUUAG
rnacentral:lncRNA from 1 species